rnacentral:rRNA from 1 species
CCUACGGGUGGCAGCAGUGGGGAAUAUUGCACAAUGGGGGAAACCCUGAUGCAGCGACGCCGCGUGAGCGAUGAAGGAUUUCGGAUUGUAAAGUCCUAUUAGUAGGGAAGAUAAUGACGGUAUCUGACUAAGAAGCACCGGCUAACUCCGUGCCAGCAGCCGCGGUAAUACGGAGGGGGCAAGCGUUAUCCGGAUUUACUGGGCGUAAAGGGCGCGUAGACGGGUGUGCAAGUCAGAUGUGAAAGCCCAGGGCUCAACCACGGAACUGCAUUUGAAACUGUGUGGCUAGAGUAUCGGAGAGGUAGGCGGAAUUCCUGGUGUAGCGGUGAAAUGCGUAGAUAUUAAGAGGAACACCAGUGGCGAAGGCGACCUGCUAGACGAUAACUGACGUUGAGGCGCGAAAGCGUGGGGAGCAAACAGGAUUAGAUACCCGGGUAGUC